GCGUCAACCAAAUAUGGGGCCUAAAAAUUAGUCCUUACCAAACACUGCCUAACCGCCUAAGGAUUCCGCCGCCGGCACCUUGCCAGCUGACGCCACCAAUCAACGCUUCCCUUUAUGGCCGGAGCAAUAGUUGGCAGACUCGGCCGCCAUCCCACCUCCUUGCUCCUCCUAACACUGCCCCGUCACGCCGCCGCACACCACCGGCUGCACUCUCCUUCCUCCUCCCAAGGUACCGUCCCCCACCUUCCCCUCUUUCUCAGACCCUGGCGCUUCCCAUCCUUUUGCCCUGCCGCUGCUGUCCUGCACGGGCGUCCCCUGAUUUACAACCCUUUGGCUGCAGUUGCAAGAGCCGGAUUGCCAGGUCAGUAUUCAAAAAUGGGUGAUCCAAGUGAGAGGAAUGGACACGGCGCUCUUACCCGGGUGCUAUUCUGUGGUCCAUAUUGGCCUGCUUCUACUAACUACACCAGGGAGUAUUUGCAGGACUAUCCAUUCAUUCAGGUUGAUGAAGUAGGUCUUGAGCAGGUACCUGAUGUUAUUCACAGCUAUCAUAUAUGUGUAGUAAAAAAUAAGCGUAUAGAUUCAGAUAUUAUUGCCAAGGCAACUCAGAUGAAGAUUAUAAUGCAGUAUGGUGUUGGGUUAGAAGGUGUUGAUGUAAAUGCUGCUACAGAACACAAAAUCAAAGUUGCACGAAUACCUGGAAGUACGACAGGAAAUGCUGUCUCUUGCGCAGAAAUGGCAAUCUAUCUUACUCUAGGCAUUCUGCGUAAGCAAAAGGAGAUGGAUACUGCUGUGAACCGGAAAGACCUUGGUGUUCCAGUUGGAGAUACAUUAUUUGGCAAAACAAUCCUUAUCCUUGGAUUUGGGGCCAUUGGCAUCGAGGUUGCCAAGAGGCUAAGACCCUUUGGGGUAAAAAUUCUUGCUACCAAAAGAAAUUGGUCAUCGGACACAUUGCCAUCUUAUGUUGAUGAGCUAGUUGACAAGAAAGGUGGGCCGGAAGAUAUGUAUGAGUUUGCUGGUGAAGCUAACAUUGUUAUAGCAUGCAUGACCUUAACCAGCGAGACAAUUGGAAUUGUGGAUCAUAAGUUUGUUUCAUCAAUGAAAAAGUGUUGUGCAUAAAUAAUAGAGAAGGAAUGAUCCAUGAGUCAUGGGGUCAUAUCUGGUCAACAUUGCUCGGGGACGCCUGCUGGACUACAAGGCUGUGUUUGAUCACCUGGAAUCGGGCCAUCUAGCUGGUCUGGGGAUUGAUGUUGCUUGGAUGGAGCCAUUUGAUCCUGAGGACCCUGUUCUGAAAUUCCCAAACGUCAUUCUAACGCCCCAUGUGGCCGGCGUCACCGAGUAUUCCUACAGAACUAUGGCAAAGUCUGUUGGUGACACCGCCCUUCAGCUUCAUUUAGGCGAGGCGUUCACGGAGGUAGAGUUCGUCAACUAAAAAACCGUCCAGGCGGCAGCCGUAGACGCAUGCCAUUCGUGGGCUAUCGGAACCGCUGAUGCGAUCAUUUGUAGAGAAUAAUGGAUCCGCGACUUGUAAGAAUAAACAUGUAGCCAGAUGUUUGAUGGUGAUCUCCAUGAGAACUCUGCCACUGGCUGCCUUAGCUGGUAGUGGUAGCAAGUCAUUUUCUCAAACAUUGCCUUCUCUUUCUCUGUAUCACUGUUGUCGUCAUGAUCACAACUUUCUUUGUUAGCCGGGUUGGUUAGGUGCUCUAGGUAACACUCCUUAAGUUUGAGUUCAGUUCAAUUCUUAAUUCGACUGAAUUUCAGGCUGAGUUUUAAAAAUAAUACCUUUUUUUUU